UGUUGGAGGUCGGACAUUCCCAUGUAACAUCCACUGCGAAAUGCUAUACAAGCGCCGAAAAGACUGUGAUUAACGUGAAAUUACAGAGACAUGUGGCACACACUGGUCUCUGAAUGACAUUUACUCCCGAGCUGAACAGUCGUUCGUUAAUAAGAAGCGCGUAGAAAACACGGAGGACCUCCAAAAACUGUCCGUCCGUUUUGUCCUACAAAGGAGAGUUUGACAGGACUUCAGUGCGCGGGCCUGCUGCUAGAGGAGGACGCUAUCCAGAGGACUUCAUGAGACAAUAAACACUGUCCUUUCUGUUGAGGGAAGCAAGAGAAAACAUGAGGAAGGACGUGAGGAUACUGCUUGUGGGGGAACCCAAGGUGGGGAAGACAUCGCUGAUCAUGUCUCUGGUCAGUGAGGAGUUUCCUGAUGAGGUUCCUCUUCGAGCUGAGGAGAUCACCAUCCCAGCUGAUGUCACCCCAGAGAGGGUGCCCACACACAUUGUGGACUAUUCAGAGGCAGAACAGACAGAAGAGCAGUUGUUCCAAGAAAUAUCAAAGGCCAAUGUUAUCUGCAUAGUUUACGCAGUUAACAACAAGAAGUCCAUUGAAAAGGUGACAAGCCACUGGAUCCCUCUUAUAAAUGACAGAACAGACAAGGAUAGCAGAGUACCACUGAUCCUAGUGGGGAACAAGUCAGACCUGGUGGAACACAGCAGCAUGGAGACCAUCCUGCCAAUCAUGAAUCAAUACCAGGACAUCGAGACAUGUGUAGAGUGCUCUGCUAAAAACCUGAAGAACAUUUCCGAGCUGUUCUACUACGCCCAGAAGGCUGUGCUCCACCCGACGGGACCCCUGUACUGCCCGGAGGAGAAGGAGUUGAAGCCUUCCUGCAUCAAGUCUUUAACUAGAAUCUUUAAAGUGUCUGACCUGGACAACGACGGCAUCCUCAAUGACAAUGAGCUCAACUUCUUCCAGAGAACGUGUUUCAAUACACCGCUGGCGCCUCAGGCUUUAGAGGAUGUGAAGAAUGUUGUCAGGAGAAACAUGACGGAUGGAGUCAACGACGACGGACUUACACUCAAAGGCUUCCUGUUCCUCCACACCCUCUUCAUCCAGCGAGGCCGACACGAGACCACCUGGACGGUGCUGAGGCGGUUUGGAUAUGACGACGACCUGGAGCUCACACAGGAAUACCUGUUCCCCAUGGUAAAGAUCCCCCCGGACUGCACCACAGAGCUCAAUCACAACGCUUACCUCUUCCUCCAGAGUGUCUUCGACAAACAUGACAAAGACAGAGAUUGUGCGCUGUCACCAGAGGAGGUGAAGGACUUGUUCAAAGUGUUUCCCUACAUGCCCUGGGGCCCGGAUGUCAACCACACGGUGGGCACUAACGAACAGGGAUGGAUCACAUACCAGGGAUACCUCUCCCAGUGGACGUUGACAACAUAUCUCGAUGUACAGCGUAGUUUGGAGUACUUGGGGUACCUUGGCUACUCUAUCAUCUAUGAACAGGAGUCCCAAGCUGCUGCCAUUACAGUAACACGUAACAAGCGCAUCGAUCUGCAGAAGAAACAGACUCAGCGCAGCGUCUUCCGUUGCAACGUCUUGGGCGCCCGAGGCAGCGGGAAGAGCGGCUUCCUGCAAGCUUUCCUGGGCAAGAACCUGCAGACACAGAGGCGGAUUAGAGAAGACCACAAAUCCUUAUACGCCAUCAGCACGACCUACGUUUAUGGUCAGGAAAAAUACCUGCUGCUCCAUGAGGUGAUGCCAGACUUCGACUUCCUGUCAGAGGCGGACCUUGCUUGUGAUGUAGUCUGCCUGGUGUAUGACGUCAACAACCCAGGCUCUUUUGAAUACUGCGCCAAAGUGUACAAGCAAUACUUCAUAGAUAGUAAGACGCCCUGUGUGAUGCUCGCCGCUAAGUCUGACCUGCACGAAGUACGGCAGCACUACAGCCUCUCACCGCACGAGUUCUGCCGCAAGCACAAGCUCCACCCCCCCCAGCCGUUCACAUGCAGCACCAUCGAGGCCCCCAGCAAAGACAUCUACACCAGACUCACCACCAUGGCCAUGUAUCCCCACGCCCGUCUGCGCUGCAUGUGUGCCUGCAACAGGUGCUCCUAUUGCCUGUGUCAGAACCUCCUCAAGUUGGAGCUGCUGCGCAGUAUAAAGGCCCAGCUCUGCAGGGUCGUGUUCAACAGCUCCAGCCAGCGCCCCCCCCCCUCUGUACAGUUUGACAAAGCGAAGUGUGACCGCGCUGUGCCAGCUAACACACGGGCUGCUAGCCAGGGAGGUGACGUGUGUUGGAAUCCGUGUGGAAAAUGCAUGAAGUGCAGUGCAUGCUCAACCCCUCUUACUAACCCACAUACAUGACACUAAUCAUUUUGAUUUCAUUCAGAGGAAUAAACCAUUUCAAUGUUUUCAUAUCUCUGGAUAGUUCUGAGUAUAUAUAAUGCUACAAACAACUGCAAUACAUCAUAUGUUGUUCAGCCAAUCAUUCAUACAAAAUAUCAACUCUUAACAUUGAAGGGUUAAAAACUGAUAUGAAGCCACAUUUUUUAAAUCGUUUUACUACUUCCUCCUGCAGUGGAUAUGCAAACUGUGAAUCUUGACUAACAAGCAUAUUCUUUGCACAAAGGAUGAAGAAAAACCAGCCAUUCACUUCAUUAAAACUAAAAACCUCAUUGAUGUCUGCAUGAUUAUAUGUGAUUCAUUUUCAAUCACAUACAGUUCUUCCUGUGUAUUAAUUUCUCUUUGGAACCAACCCUUAUCGUUAACCAUUGAGUGCUUGAUUCAUUACCUAGUAUGUAUUCAGUCUCCCUUUGUCUAUAUUUCCAUCAUUAACACUGAAGUCUACUCCAACAGGAGACAUUUUAUUUUGAAAAGCAAAACUGUAAUUUGACAUAUACACACAUAUGUACUUAAAAUAUAAACAGCUGUACUUGUUUCCUGUGGGUUUAGACUUCAUAAAUGUAACAGACUCAGUGUUUAAAAUCUAAAUGUGUUCCUUUGAUGUUUAAAUAGAAUCUGUUGUACCAAUCACCACCGUGUCAUUUCAUCCUGUUUUUUCCUGUCUUGUCUAUUCUGUCUGUGUGUUUGUCCUUCCCCUCUAUAGGAGUUCACAAACAUGUUUUUGGCUGCCCUUCUUCCUCUUCCUCUUGCAUGUGUUCACCCUCUGCUAAUCAGUCUGCUGCUAAGUUGCAUGGCUCACCUGUUCUCUACCUCUGUGGAUAACCAAAGGCAUGCCUCGGUCCUUGGCAAUAUGUCUCACAUCUAUCAAUCUCUACAUCAGAGAGAGCUUGGUGUUUACUAUAAGAAAGGGGGGGGGGCACUGCAGAGUUUGUAUGUUUGUUUACGGCAGAGGUGUGUUUGCAGAUUUUUGGGGUAAUCGGUAUUUUUUUCAGCCAAUUAUGGCAUAGAAUGCAGAGCUUGUGGUUGGGCGUUCAUGGAACUGCAUACUGUAACGUUGCACCCAGCACUAACCUUUGUCUUUUUAAUCUCUGGGGGUUGUUAAACUAUUAAUAGCAUGACACUUAAUGGGCCUGGCAGUGCACAGUGCCACGAGCACAUUGAAUGCCUGAGGUGUUUUUCUAAAAAGUGCAUUGGUCGACUGGGAUAAAUUAUGCUUUGAUUUUACAUAUCCUGACAUUGUAAUCUCGAUUUAAAAAAAAAAAAAGAUUCUAAGGUCUACAAAAUAACAAGCAAUGUCAGGCAGCUUAAGAAAGGUGAUUUUGUAUUUAAAAUACAACUUAAUUUUGCUUUGCUAAAGUGGCAUACAAUGUUUGUAAAAUAUUUAGGGGCGAGCAAAAGAGUCAGAAAAAACACCAAUCCACAUGUUCUUUAUUUAAAAGACAUUAAAUUACUUUUUUAAAUGUUAUUUAUCUUACCCGAUGACAAUUAGAUUAAUGGCCGCCAUGUGGUUUGUAAAUGUGAUGUGUUGGUAGCUUUAUUUUGUGCCUUUGUGUGCGUUGUGUGCGUGGUGUGCGCCGCGGUGACAUAUGACGCGGUAUAUCAUAGUUGAGCUUGUGGGCGGGGAUCACAGUUCCUUUAUUUUCAGGCGGGGUAGAGCUGGGUGAUAUGGAUCGGAUAUCACUUUAGAUGUGUUCAUUUGAUUUGUUCUCUAUUUUAACAAUACAGAACAUGUAAAUAAUAAAUUAUGCACUUUCAUACAAAAGUAGAUAAGUCAGAUAAUUUCAAUGUGAAAAGGCUUGACCAACUUUUCGGCUUACUUAUAAUAUAUAUGAUAAUUAAAUCCCACAUGACAUCAAGUAUCACAUGACAGUAUUGUGUCUAUUCAAGCUAAUUUAAUCAUUAAAUGUUAGAAAAUAAUCGACAAUGGUUUUAGUAUUUUAGACGUAAUGGGUUCUCUGGUUCCAGUUUAAAUGUGAAUUUAAACUUUAUUUUUUAUUUCUGAAAUAAGCUCUAAACACAAUUUAUUACAUUUUAUAGACUAAAUGAAUAAUGAAUUGAUCACAAAAGUAAAUUAUUGCUAAUGAAAUAUUUGUUAGUUUCAGCCCAAGUCAAUAUUAUUUUUGAAUUGUCGCCCCACUCUACCCACUUCGUUGGAGCGUGUGUGUGUGUGUGUGUGUGUGUGCACGACCCCGGCCAUGGUGUGACUUUGUGUGUGUGGGUGGCUGCUGGGCUGGGUGGAGGCUGCGGGGGCUUCCUGCUCAAAGGAGGAUUUAAUUCAGAUGCAGCAGGUUUCAACCAUCUCCAACAUGGAGGGUCCAUCUUUAUGGAGGCCUCUGCUGAACAACUAAAUCCCCCAGAAAGGCACAUGGCUCAGGCCGAUCUGAAGAACUCCACCUUCUGGCUGAGAGCGAGUGUGGGGGCCACGGUGUUCGCGGUGCUGGGCUUCGCCAUGUACAGAGCACUGCUCAAACAGCGGUGAUGGGACAGCGUGACACUUCCUCCCCCCGGCCCCUUCUGGUGACUCUGCCCCCUCCCCUCCUACCUGAAAGACUCAAAAACACUGGCUGACUAACCCACCCUCAACUCCGCCUCAUCCCCUUCCCACAAUGCAACACAAGCAAGAAACAAAUGAGCGAAAUCAUAGUUACAUUUUAUAUGCAUUAAAAAAAAUGAAGUGUGGUGUAGUUUUUCUGUUUUAAAGUUGUGGGAAAAGGAGCAGGCGUACUUUUGAAAUCAUUCAAUUUGUAAAUGCUGACAUGUUGCCUAGUAUAGUCCGACUCUACUAAUCACUGGAUGUUUUCAGCUGAUCCAGUCCUCUUUUUAUUUCUCAGGUCAGUAUUAUUCAUUAGUUAGAUGGUUGGAGACCAGAGAGAGGCAGCCAUAUACAGCAACACCACAAAGGGACUUGAAUCUGUUAAUAAAUAUAGUGUAUAUGCAGCAUUUUAUGCAUGUAGGACUUUUAGAAUUGGACCCAUAGACCGCACAACAAGCUCCUACAGGUGUUAGCGAUGCAUCUAACACUAGAGAGGUCAUGAUUGGCAUGCACUUGUUUAUUUUGUGUGUUUAUUUAUUAACCUGUUUCUUUGUUUUUCUUGUCUGUUUUGAGUGCACCGCAUGAAACAGAGGGAUUUACAUUUUCCUUGUAUUUUUGUAUUUAGUUUUAUCAAAGCAGUCCUUAUGAUGUAUUGUUUUUUUCUGAUUUUAUUUUUCUGGUUUUCAAAUAGAGCUUCGUCCCUCAUGGUAUAUUUUUAUGAAGUUAGAAGCACCAUAUAUCAACAGAUUAUGCUAUUAACAACAGCCAUUCAGUGCACCUCUCCCACCUUUAAACUAUUAAAAAGUGUUUAUUCUCAUUCUUCUCUUUUCCAGCAUUUACAAUAAAAAAAUGGUAUGAUCUGGCCCAGCCAUGUAGGCGUGUUGUAAGGGUUAAAUGACAGCAACAUUUAAGAGCAAUGAGGAAAAUAAAUUGGUUUUAAAUAUCUGUAAUAAAUGACAUUUACACCCACUGAA